CUUCAACGUCGCCGCCAUAUUGGAGUGGGCAACUCUCACAUCAGGAAAACAUAGGCCUACCUGACUCGUCGCCAGCUUGGGCAUCUACAGACCGUCACACAAUAAUAAAAACAGAUCUCGGGGUAUAAUCUUUCACACAUUUGGAAAAUAGCAUUACAUUACUUGCUCCUCUGCAGUGAAUGGGUGCCAUCAGAAUGAGAGUCCAGACAGCUGAUAGAAAUAUCACAAUAAUCUACAAGACUCCAGUCCAUCAAUUAAUGUCUUGUGAAGCAAGACGUUGUGUUUCCAAUCUUGGAUGGCCUGAAGAUGGUCUUUGCGUGAAAAAUCAGUGCUCCACCAGGUAUUGAGUUGUUGACAUGUACUGUAUGUCAGUCAGAGAGAAUGAAUCUUUAUCAAAGGUUCCCCACAGCUCUGCCACGCUGCCGUCACUUAACACUGCUUACACUUUGGCACAGCAGAUGGCCGCUGACAGUGAGAAAACAAGCAUGGAAAUAUCAGCAGAGAUGCUGAUGAAAGGGACAGAUACCCUAAGGUAUCCAUCAGUAAUGUCCAGUCCUCUGACCUCACUGCUUUUAAAGGAAUUGUAUACUGAAUCCUUUUAAUAGUAGGUGUAGUGUCAAGAUAUCAUGUUUAUUGAUGCAGUCACCGGGCAGUUUCUAAUGGAUGCAGU